ACCUUUUGUAUAAUGGGUCAGCGACUUAUAUUCUGUAGCAAGGUUAACCGAAUAGGGGAGCCGAAGGGAAACCGAGUCUUAACUGGGCGUUAAGUUGCAGGGUAUAGACCCGAAACCCGGUGAUCUAGCCAUGGGCAGGUUGAAGGUUGGGUAACACUAACUGGAGGACCGAACCGACUAAUGUUGAAAAAUUAGCGGAUGACUUGUGGCUGGGGGUGAAAGGCCAAUCAAACCGGGAGAUAGCUGGUUCUCCCCGAAAGCUAUUUAGGUAGCGCCUCGUGAAUUCAUCUCCGGGGGUAGAGCACUGUUUCGGCAAGGGGGUCAUCCCGACUUACCAACCCGAUGCAAACUGCGAAUACCGGAGAAUGUUAUCACGGGAG
rnacentral:rRNA from 1 species